UGCCAUGACUUUGUUCACGCACUAAGUUUAGCAGAUAACUAAAACUUCCAAUACUUUAUAUGUAUGGAACAGUUAUGGCUGCUGGGUCAUUACCAAAACUAGGGUUUCUUUUUUUUUGUUAUAUAUGGCUGAUGCUCUGCGAGAUGCUACAUGGGUAGUGCUUCUACUGCGUAAAUAUUAAGAGGGUUUGAAGGUUGACUGUUUUGCAGAUUCAUGCUCUACAAAAACCAGAAAUCCUCUACUCCUAUCCUCUCUCUCCCUCUUUAAUUUUAUUUCACUUGGUGUUAGUGGUUUGCUCUUGGGCUUGUGCUCUUGUUUCUUUGAUUGGUACAUGUUAUAAUAAGCUGAACAUGCAGCAAUUUGGAAAUGUACUGCCGUCAGCACUCCAUUGAUAGCUACUGUCAAGGAAACUUUUUCUCGAUCACCUGGUUUAUUGAUUCCAAAAGGAAAUUAACACUGCUUGAUUCUGUUUAGGUUCAUCCCAAAAGCUCAUGCACUGAUUUUUGUUGAUGAUAUCUUACAAACGUUAUGCAUACGUGAUGUGAUCAUAGGCAUAGAUCUGAUGUUCUAGAGUUGGUCAUCAAAAGACUACUUGGGUUUUAUAUUAUAAGAUCAAUAAUUUAAAAAUCCUCUCUCUGUCUCUCUCUCUCUCUCUCUCUCUCUCUCCAUGUAUAGUAUAGAUGAAGAGAGUCUCAUGGGAUUUAAUAAAAUGAGAAUUACUGCGUUUGUUUUGUUUAUUAUUAUUUAAUUAAAUACAUGGCAUAAAAGAUAAAUAGCUUCUGGUCUUGCAGGAAGGAGACAAGAUUUUUUGUGAAAACAUAAGCUCAAAAUGUGUUCACAGUACAUGAGGCAGCAUAGAUUUGUAUUGAGAUAAAGCAAUUGACUUAAUUAUAAAAUUCAAUUUCUUAUUACA